CCUUGGUCCAAAAUUUAACGCACUUUGAAAAUUUUUUUCAAAGUGCGUUGAUUUUGUCCAAAAUUUAACGCACUUUGAAAAAAAAUUUCAAAGUGCGUAAUUUUUUCAAAGUGCGUUGCCACACUUGUACCAUCUUUGACUCAUAUCAGCUUAUAUUCCUCUCUGUACGUACAACCGUAUUUCAUUUGUCUGACAAUUCUUUUCAAACAUCCGUUUAGUGUGGUUCUCCUGCUAAAGACUUCCUUUUCAACGUGUCGAUUUUUUUUUUUACAAUUAAUGGUGGUUUUUCCAUUAAAUUAAGGUUUUGUGACAACUUUUAUGCAAGGUUAAGAUUCUUUGCGUAGAAGUUGCUAUAAACCUUGAAUUAUAUCCUAUGGUCUUCAUUUAAGGCAAUACAUCUUUUUUUUGGGUUUGUGUUCGCUUUCUCUUAAUAGUCUAUUUUUUGUCCAUUUAGAUCUUUUCGCAGAAUAAUCGUUAGACACCUAUUUAAAUAAAAAGUCGAAGUUCACCUGAUAUAUAUAUUCAUAUUAAACUCGUUUUAUUUGCCUCAUUUCAAAUCAUAUUCGCAUCAAAUUGCACGACGGAUAGUUAUCAUUCAUAUUUUAUUUCACACUGUAAAACAAAUGUCCCCUUCCUCUAAACAAUCAAGAUUUGAAAGAAAUGUUUUAAAAAUGCAAUCAUUUCUGUUUUAUUUAAGAUAUUUUAAAUAUAUAAUCAUCUCAUGUAUUUAAUUUUUUACUGGAUUAUUAUUUUUUUAAAGUUAGUAUUUUCUCUUACUACUAAGUUAUUAUCAAAAUGAACUAAGAUUUUGUUUUAUCUAUUAAUUAUUUUGUUAAUUAUUUGUCAUAACUAAAACAUGUUUAUUAUAUACAUGUAUGUAUAUGCUUAUAAAAAACUGAUUUGAAAGGAAAAAAUCACAAUCGUUGCAAGAAAUGCUUGUAGUUAUUUUCAUUGAAAUAAAAUUAACCUUGUUAGAAUGUU
rnacentral:sRNA from 1 species